UACGUAGGGUGCAAGCGUUAAUCGGAAUUACUGGGCGUAAAGCGUGCGCAGGCGGUUUUGUAAGUCUGACGUGAAAUCCCCGAGCUCAACUUGGGAAUUGCAAUGGAUACUGGCGGGCUGGAGUAUGGUAGAGGAAGGUGGAAUUCCCGGUGUAGCAGUGAAAUGCGUAGAGAUCGGGAGGAACACCAGUGGCGAAGGCGGCCUUCUGGACCAAUACUGACGCUCAUGCACGAAAGCGUGGGGAGCAAACAGG
rnacentral:rRNA from 1 species